rnacentral:misc_RNA from 1 species
CAACCCUUAAGCCUAGCUUAGUGUUGGGAAUCUACGUAUGCAUAGUUCUACUGUGUUGUAGUUCCUGAAAUCAAACGGCGGAUUUGUAGUAUCCUCUGAGCGUAGUAAAUCUUUAUCUCGCUUUUGUUAGGUGCUGUAACUCUAGCCGCUAAACCCCCUAUUUUUAAU